CAUCAUUUCCCGUCAUUCUUCUUUCUUUUCUUCUUCUGCUGCAGCUCUUAGAACCCUCCUCUGUUUGACUCGGUUCCAGUCCCAUUACUCUUUCCUGCCCUAAGCCCGCCGCUUUCAUCGCGUAUUUUAAGAGGUGUUGGUGUUUUUUCAAAUGGACGCAGCAUUAGGGAAGGGUACAACUUGUCGCAGGAAUGUGUCGGCAAAUGGUCACUUCACUAGUUGAGUGUCAUGAGUGUAUGCAUGAGAGAAGCGAUGGUGAUAAUUGCUUCGCAUGGCUCGCAUCUGGCACUGUCCCUCGAUUUCCACAGUCAAUCAGACCUGCUGGCUACUUCUGCUGCUGACCACGACAUGAAGGUGAAGUGCUAUAAUUUCUAAAUGGCCAUCUAUGCUCUAUCCAAGCUUUUGCCUCGUAUCCUCCCGGGGAGUUUUUUAGCAUAAAUCCGUCCGGAUCGUACUUGCCGGAUGUAUUAACGCCAACUGGUUCUGAGGGACAAGAAAAGAAAGUUCGCAAUCGGCUUGAACAGGUUAGCUUGCCAACCAGUAUUAUCCAAAUAGGUUACAACUUUGCACCAAAUAGCUUCUAUGAUGUGCUGAUACUCUUAAAGUAAUUGUUGAUGGUGGAAUUAAUUCAUAAUUAGGCAGAUUCUGACGAGGAUGAUUUCUUCUCUUUUGCGAAAUUCCCCUUCCAGCCACUAGCUAGCCAGUUGAAACUGUCCGGUUCUGUCUAGUCCAAUUUCCUGUACCGGUGAGUGAAUCCGAAGAAUUAACUAACUCUGGUAAUUAAUCUUUUUCACGUUGAGCUCCUCGUGAGGCGAAGUCUAUACUUUUGUUUGCCCAAUAUCACUAGUCUCCGAAGAGAUAGUCUGGAAUGCGUUCAUUUAUGAGAUUCAUUGAGAACUAUGGCGUAAUUAAAGCUUAGCUUGUUGGCAUUGUCUCGUA